CUUUGUUAAUAUUGCUUAUAUCUUACUGUAACUUCACAUAAACAUUGUCCAGUAUACAAACAAAGUUUGUAUAGGGGCUGAGCCUAUUAUACCCAAGGUCAAGGUCACCAAGGUGUUAUACUUAGGUUAUUUUUAACAACCUUUGUUUUUCUAUCAUAUCUUUGUUACUUUUGCUUAUAUCAUACUGUAAGUUCAACUUUGUCCAGCAUACAAACAAAUUAUGUGUAAGGGCUGGGCCCAUUAUACCCAAGGUCAAGGUCACCAAGGAGUUAUACAUAGAAUUAUUUUCAUGUUAUUUUUUCCGAAAGUUUUGUUUAUAGACAUAUCUUUGGUAUUUUAAAAGAUAAUGACUUGAAAUCAAAAGUAUUUGUUUAUGAUCAUCUGCAUGUGCGGCUACAUACCCCAUAACUCUAAUUGUGUUUUUGAUAGAAUUAUGCCCCUUUUGUACUUAAACUUUUUUGCAAUAUUCGUUCUCUGAAUAGUACUUUAAUGCAAUAUAAGAUAAAGACCUGAAACUUUAAAUGUAUCUUUAUCAUCAUCAUCUGCAUGUGUGGUAACAAUCCCCAUAACUCUGAUUUGUAUUUUUGACCAAAUUUUGCCCCUUUCAUACUUAAAUGUUUUACGAACUUUGUUUUCUGGACAUAAAUUUGGUGCUAUAUAAGAUAAUGACUUGAAACUCAAAAUAUAUCUUUAUCAUCAUCAUCUGCAUGUGUUGUAACAAUCCUAAUAACUCAGAUUUGUGUAUUUGAUGGAAUUAUGCCCCUUGGUGUAUCUUCCUUUUAAAGUAGAGGUCUCUUAUUCAGACAUAUAUUCAUUUUACUGUCAUAUCCCCGAAUAGUGGAGCGCGAUGUCACACGGACGGCUCUUGUUCUGUGUUACUUUCAAAUUUUAGGUGUAUUUUAAGGUACCUCUUCUGGUAAGGAGUUUUUUGUAGACUUAAAAAAUAAAAACUUACUUCCCUUUGUUGCUACUAUAUAAAACGAUUAUUCUUGAAACUUUUUACGCUGGUUGUUAGAAUUGGAUAUGUCACUGUUUUGGCUUUCUGUCUACCCAAACUUAUAGUUUUGUACAGAAAAUGUUUUAUUAUAUCAUCUUUCUGACGAGCAUAUAUUUAACAUCCUGGCACUCUUGUUUUAUUUUGUUCAUGCCAAGAUGCUGUAUUGGCAUACAGUAUGUAUGAUGAAAAUGUCCUUAGGCAGGGGACGUUGCUAACUCUGUUACAAAUUCUUGUUGUUGUUUUUUUCUGGAGUUGUUGCCUUAUUUGAUCUUGAACUAAUUCAUCACAUCGUGAACUCGUGAACUUAAGUCGAACAAAUCCAUCCAACUGAAUUGAAACUAGGUAUACAUCAGAAGCAUGAAAUGAAUAUGUACAUGCUGCCCUGACUUUUAUGAUCGAUUAUUUUGUCUGGAGUUGUGGCCCUUCUUUAACGACGGAUGACAACUACAUUGUAGUUUCCUUCUCUUCAUUUCAAAUAAAACUUGUUAAGCAUCAUAAACAUUAUGUAGACAUGCGCAUUUGUUUCUUGUUCAGUUGUUUAACUUCUAUAUAUUUUUCUUUAAUAACAUUAUUGACCCGUCGUUAUUAUAAGUUAUUGAAUGAAACAUUUUUGUCGACAUCAUUCUAGUUCGCUUUGCAACCUUCGUGAAGGAAUAUUGUCAAACUAUACCGUAAAAGAGGAAGAGUUUGCUUCCUUUUGUAGCACAACUGUCUAUGCAUUAUUGUGCCUUGCUCAUAUACAUAACACUUUUAUUUGUGUGAACAUGCAUGAAUUUGUUAUACUGCAAAAUAAAACAGUCAUCAUUGA